rnacentral:rRNA from 1 species
AUUGAACGCUGGCGGCAGGCCUAACACAUGCAAGUCGAACGGUAACAGGAAGAAGCUUGCUUCUUUGCUGACGAGUGGCGGACGGGUGAGUAAUGUCUGGGAAACUGCCUGAUGGAGGGGGAUAACUACUGGAAACGGUAGCUAAUACCGCAUAACGUCGCAAGACCAAAGAGGGGGACCUUCGGGCCUCUUGCCAUCGGAUGUGCCCAGAUGGGAUUAGCUAGUAGGUGGGGUAACGGCUCACCUAGGCGACGACCCCUAGCUGGUCUGAGAGGAUGACCAGCCACACUGGAACUGAGACACGGUCCAGACUCCUACGGGAGGCAGCAGUGGGGAAUAUUGCACAAUGGGCGCAAGCCUGAUGCAGCCAUGCCGCGUGUAUGAAGAAGGCCUUCGGGUUGUAAAGUACUUUCAGCGGGGAGGAAGGGAGUAAAGUUAAUACCUUAGCUCAUUGACGUUACCCGCAGAAGAAGCACCGGCUAACUCCGUG